CUCCGCCGCGGACGGACGCGGUCGCCAUGGCGGCGGCGGCGGCUGCUCCGCGGGCUUCGUGGGUCCUGGAGGGGGGCCUUGCCACCCUAGCUCCCCGACCCCGCGCCACAGGGGCGCCUGCAGUUAUGUAAACAUGCAUCUGUCUUUGCAAAUUCAUGGGAGGAGAAAUCACACAGAAGAGGAGAGGGACUCCUAAAAAGUAUGUGUUGGGAUCCCAUUCGCUGUGUUGCCUAGGCUGGUCUUGAACUAGUGGACUCAACUGAUCUCCCACCUCAGCCCCUUCAGUAGCUGGGAUUACAGGCAUACAUCACCAUGCCUAGCUUCUGACAAACUUGUUUCCGAUUACUUUUUGAGUGAUCCUGAAAUCUGCUUUACUGGAUUUUUUCACAUCUACAUUAAUCACCAUAAUUAAUCUCCCAAUAGUUUAUUGUGAUAAACUGAAGUUACAAGUAAGAGCAAUUUGAAUCUGCAGAUACACUAAUCUAUUAAUAAGUUAGCAUUGAGAGGUAGUAUCAAGUAAUAAUUGUGGAAGAGAGAAGGCUAAGCCUGCUCUGAGUCACUCCUUGUUGUAUGGAACAGUGGUGCCUAGUCCUGAAUUAGUCCACUGUAUAAAGCGUUUGACCCAAGCUACUCCAUUUUGAAUGAAACUGCUAAAGCAGAAUGAUUUGGUAAUUUGUCUGAGCAAACAGAUAACCACCAGAUGGUGGACAUGUAGAAUUCCUCAAGAAGAAUGACCUCCAACAACUGCAGCAUGAUCAUAAGGCACAAACUGGAAUUGUGCUAAUAAAUAAUGACCACUUGUGAACUUACCAAAUUAAAUCAGAAACACAUGGAUGCAUAGGCAUCUCAAACCCGUAUCAGAGAAACAGGCCCCUGAGUUUAUCAGUCUCGCCAGAAGUAAUCCCCUCAGCUGAAACACGUAAAAGGAGGAGCACCCAAAAAGGUGAUGGGUGGUGGGCAGACCAGCCAGUGAACUACUCAGGAGGUCAACAGGUGACAAACUCCCAACUCUGUUCUUAGGACUUCAGCUCAGCAGGGGGGAGGCAGCCCACUUCACAACUGCCUGCCCUCUGGACCUUGGCCUAGAGUAAAUUCAGCACCCUGGUAGUCCUGAACCCUGAGCAAGUGCUUCAGCUGGAUUCUAAUCUGACCUUGCAGUGAGUCUUCUGUAGUUAUAUCUGCUCCUGCCUUCACUUUCCAUGGGGUGUCUUGAAACGCUGAGGCCAUGCUUAACUCUUCCUUAGCCUUUCUGUAAAUUGUGUAAAGUAUGAUGUGUGACUUGAGUGUUAUAAACAUUAGUAAUUAAGACUGAAAUGGAAUGGAAGAAAUUGUGAUCACCUUAGUCAUGACACCAAGUGAACCAUGAGUAUUUUCAGGAAAUUGAAACCAAUGAAGUUGAUGUAGCCUGUAAAUUUAUUAUUAUUCA